rnacentral:RNase_P_RNA from 1 species
GGAGGUGGACGGAGGAUCGCCGGUGGGCAGCAACCGCUCACGGGAGGAAAGUCCGGGCUCCGCAGGGCAGGGAGGUUGCUAACGGCGACCCGGGGUGACCCGAGGGAAAGCGCCACAGAAACGACACCGCCGAUGGCCGGUGAUCCGGCCGGCCCGAGAGGACCGGCCGGGGAGGCACAGGUAAGGGUGAAAUCGUGGGGUAAGAGCCCACGCACGACAGCCGGGUGACCGGCGGUGGGGCAAGCCCCUCCUGGAGCAAGCUCGAAUAGGGACGUCGAUUCGGGUGGCCCGCCCGAGGCCUUCGGGCCCGACGUCCGGGUGAGAGUGCUCGAGCGGCGCAGCAAUGCGUCGCCUAGAGGAAUGAUCCUCACCGGCCCGAGGGAAACCGAGGGUCGGGACAGAACCCGGCUUACAGUCCACCUCCGGCA